rnacentral:lncRNA from 1 species
GGCGAUUUAGAAAUAGCAUUUCUAGCUAUCGACACAAUAGAAACCACAUGUAAAACAUUUUCAAAAAUUGAAAGAAAAUACAAGUAAAACCGAGAAUACACUCAAAUUCCAGGAAAGAGAAUCAUGAGGACUAUAGAUAGGUUGAGCUGUAGAUUUAAAUUCUUAUCCAACCUUUUUCAGUUGGUUUCUGGAGUCCUGUCUCCUGUAGAGUCAGUUUCAGUCAAUGCCAGUGCUCUUAUCUCUAAAAGGAGGGAGCCAUUUAAAGUUUAGUCUGAGUUUGUUUCCUUAGUUUUAAAUCUUUUCCUGGAUGAACACAUGAUUCACUUGUGUUAAUAAUUUGGACACCCGAAUUUCAGCCCCGUUUUUGAGCAUUAAAGGACCCAUAGGACGGACAUGUGUAAGCGUCUAUGGUGCUUGAAGUCAACAUUUCCCCAGGGGAAUUCGAUUUUCCCAUAAAACCUGUUCUUCCCAGGCUCCCGACUCAGUCUUUAAAGGCUUACACAAGAAGUGUCUGAGGCAUCUUAUGUCUGGAUGGAUGUGACAGCUGUCAAUCCGAUGGCUUAUGCUGUAGGCAGGAAAUCUGAGGUGAGACAUCUUGGAGAACUCUGGACUAGAACUAGGCACAGGAUAUCUGCCAGGGAAGAUGUGAAGUACCCGAGCACAGGUAACCAGCCACGUGGCAAUACGUAGGUUAAAAUGAAUGGGAUAGUUUGUUAGCGAUCUAGUCAGAGACGUGCCUAGCUAUAUGGCCAAGGUAUAUGUAAAUUAUAUUUUGAGUCUGAGUCUUAUUUCUGAGAGCAUGGGGCUGAGAGGAAGAACAGAAUGUAACAUUUACAAUCUCCCAUAAUUGUCUUCCCUUCUAGAUUCCGGUGCCAUGUUGUCCGGACCUCGACACUUAGGUUGCUUGUUCCCAUGGUUGUAAUUCAGGAGCCCUUGCAAACCUCAUCAUCUGCGUUCUAACCUCGUACUUUCCUUUCUUCUCCUCCCCUCAAAACAAGGUCGUGACGCUAUGUAGCUAUCCUGAAACUAUGUAGAUCAGGCUUGUCUUGAGCUCAGAGAGAUCCGUCUGCUUCUCCCAAGCGCUGGAAUUAAAAGUGUACAGCACUAUGCUCCUCCCUCUUGUUCCAUAAACCAUAAUUUCUAGUGCUACCAGAACUUUUCUAAAAGUUAAGUUUCAUCAUGUUUCUGCAGGGGAAAAAAGUUGUAUUGGUUUACCCUUAAAGGUGGCAAUUCAUCACAUCCUGGGAGGUCCAAAGCUCUAGGACAUAGGUCAUUGCGUUGGUUAAGUACAUCUUGGAGAGCAUUACGUUUUGAUGGAGUUGUAAAAUUUCAUUUUGUUUUAUAGGUGUAUGUCUGUGCGCCAAUGACAUGUUUGGGACCCACAGAAGCUGGAAAAGGGUGCUGGAUCUCCUGGAGCCUGAGUUACACAUGGCUUGUGAGCCACCAUGUGGGUGAUGGGAAUUGAACCCAGGUCCUCUAGAAAAGCAGCCAAUACACUUAAUUAACCACGGAGUCAUCUCUCCAGCAUCUGCUAACCCAAGUAAUUUCUUUUAAAGAAAGACAAUGGAGUAGUUCAAAAGAGCUCUUUAUAUUGCUCAAAAUUACCCGCGAAAGAGCACUGUGCACAGUAAAUACCGAAUGCAUAUGCACUGCUUUAAUCAAUGUGCUGUAGACUAGAGCAAUCAAGUCGAAAAACAAAAGCAUUAUGGAACCGUGCUUUCCCUAGUGACGCUGUCUAAAAGGCCGUAACUGGCAAACGAAAGGACCACACUUCAGUCCUAACUCUCAAAGCACACAGUAAAUGUGGCAGAGAUGCUGGUGAAGUCGUUGAGGCAGUACUUCCUGAGCAUUUCCCAUUUGGAACUGUUCAUAGUAUUUUCAGUCAUGUUUGAGGUUGUGAUAGAGUAUUGUUUUAAUAUUUUUACCUCAAUAGCCCAACUUUGUACUAACUUAGAUUUAGCUCUGUGCUAAACGGAAAUACUAUCAUUACUUUCUACAUAUAUUAAAAUUAAUGUAUAUAGUUGUAAUUAAAGAUAUUUAUGUCUGAGGGUUCUUAAGAAUUAUGUAUUACCCCCAACUUCACCAUGGCUUGGGAGUAACUAAUAUAUAACAUUGUAUUUUUUUUGUUUAAUGUCAACUUCAGUUAAAGCCUGCAUGGUUUAGGGAUUACAAAUGAUAUCUGGUUUGGCAUCUAGGUUUUUGUUUGUUCUCUGUUUCUUUAUUUGGAGAUGUUUGGGGUUAAAUGCAAAUCUUUGUGGAUGCAAGUCUUCUAUCUUUGAGCUAUGCCUCCUGCCCACUGUCAUCUGGUUUUAUGACUUAUGGUCUAAUUUUGUAUAUUUGUCUCUUUAUGGAAAUUCCAAGCAUGAAUAUUUUCAUAGAUCUCAUACAAGUGGCCUGCCUUUUUCUUAAACAACACUCUCCCCCAACCACCCACAUACAGUAGAAGUCCACUAAUAAAAUAUAGGAUAUUUCUAAUUUU